AUAAACGUUUGCGGCGUGCCUGAUGCAUGCAAGUCGAACGCCCUGAUUUUUCGCAAGAUUGAUCAGGGAGUGGCGAACGGCUGAGUAACACGUAAGUAACCUGCCCUUAAGUGGGGGAUAACUUGCCGAAAGGCAGGCUAAUACCGCAUGUGCUGGUAAGCGUUAGCUUAUCAGCAAAGCUUUUGCGCUUGAGGAGGGGCUUGCGUCUGAUUAGAUAGUUGGUAGGGUAAUGGCCUACCAAGUCGAUGAUCAGUAGCUGGUCUGAGAGGACAACCAGCCAGACGGGGACUGAGAUACGGCCCUGACUCCUACGGGAGGCAGCAGCAAGGAAUUUUGCGCAAUGGGCGAAAGCCUGACGCAGCGACGCCGCGUGGGGGAUGACGGCCUUCGGGUUGUAAACCCCUUUUCCCGAGGAAGAAAUAUGACGGUACUCGGGGAAUAAGUCUUGGCUAACUACGU
rnacentral:rRNA from 1 species